AACCCAGCUCUGGACAAGUACUUCCCAUCAGACUCUGGAGUGAGAACCAUAGCUGAGCCAGGCAGAGACUAUGUCGCAUCAGCUUUCACGCUUGCAGUCAAUAUCAUUGCCAAAAAAACCAUGUGGAAGGAGCAGCCCGGCUCUGACGGCCCUGCUGCAGAAGAGACCCAAGCCAGAUGAGAAGUAUUACUCAUCCAGCAUCUGGGGGCCAACAUGUGAUGGCCUUGAUCGGAUCGUGGAGCGCUGUAACCUGCCUGAAAUGCAUGUGGGUGAUUGGAUGCUGUUUGAGAACAUGGGUGCAUACACUGUUGCUGCUGCUUCUACUUUCAAUGGGUUCCAGAGGCCAAACAUCUACUAUGGAAUGUCACGGCCAAUGUGGCAACUCAUGAAACAGAUCCAGAGCCAUGGCUUCCNGCCGGAGGUGGAGGAGCAGGAUGAUGGCACGCUGCCCAUGUCUUGUGCUCAGGAGAGCAGGAUGGACUGUCACCCUGCAGCCUGUGCUGCUAGGAUCAAUGUGUAGAUGCCAUUCUUGUAGCUCUUGCCUGAAAGUUUAGCUUGUGUUAAGGCAUUUGGGGGGACCAUUUAACUUAAUUACUGCUAGUUUGGGAUGUCUUUGUGAGAGUAAGGUUGGCACCAAUGCAGUAUGGAAGGCUAGGAGAUGGGGGUCACACUUACUGUGUUCCUAUGGAAACUUUGAAUAUUUGUUUUAUAUGGAUUUUUAUUCACUUUUCAGACAUGAUACUAACGUGUGUCCCUCAGCUGCUGAGCAAGCGUUUGUAGCUUGUACAUUGGCAGAAUGGGCCAGAAGCUUAUGUUGUGACCCAUUGUGAAAAUAAAGUAUCUUGAAAUAA